CCGCUGAACUUAAGCAUAUCAAUAAGCGGAGGAAAAGAAACCAACAGGGAUUGCCCUAGUAACGGCGAGUGAAGCGGCAACAGCUCAAAUUUGAAAUCUGGCUUCGGCCCGAGUUGUAAUUUGUAGAGGAAGCUUUUGGUGAGGCACCUUCUGAGUCCCCUGGAACGGGGCGCCAUAGAGGGUGAGAGCCCCGUAUAGUCGGAUGCCGAUCCAAUGUAAAGCUCCUUCGACGAGUCGAGUAGUUUGGGAAUGCUGCUCAAAAUGGGAGGUAAAUUUCUUCUAAAGCUAAAUACCGGCCAGAGACCGAUAGCGCACAAGUAGAGUGAUCGAAAGAUGAAAAGCACUUUGAAAAGAGGGUUAAAUAGCACGUGAAAUUGUUGAAAGGGAAGCGUUUGUGACCAGACUUGCGCCGUUCCGAUCAUCCGGUGUUCUCACCGGUGCACUCGGGACGGCUCAGGCCAGCAUCGGUUUUGGCGGGGGGACAAAGGUCCUGGGAACGUAGCUCCUCCGGGAGUGUUAUAGCCCAGGGCGUAAUGCCCUCGCCGGGACCGAGGUUCGCGCAUCUGCAAGGAUGCUGGCGUAAUGGUCAUCAACGACCCGUCUUGAAACACGGACCAAGGAGUCAAGGUUUUGCGCGAGUGUUUGGGUGUAAAACCCGCACGCGUAAUGAAAGUGAACGUAGGUGAGAGCUUCGGCGCAUCAUCGACCGAUCCUGAUGUAUUCGGAUGGAUUUGAGUAAGAGCGUUAAGCCUUGGACCCGAAAGAUGGUGAACUAUGCUUGGAUAGGGUGAAGCCAGAGGAAACUCUGGUGGAGGCUCGCAGCGGUUCUGACGUGCAAAUCGAUCGUCAAAUCUGAGCAUGGGGGCGAAAGACUAAUCGAACCAUCUAGUAGCUGGUUACCGCCGAAGUUUCCCUCAGGAUAGCAGUGUUGUUCUUCAGUUUUAUGAGGUAAAGCGAAUGAUUAGGGACUCGGGGGCGCUUUUUAGCCUUCAUCCAUUCUCAAACUUUAAAUAUGUAAGAAGCUCUUGUUACUUAAUUGAACGUGAGCAUUCGAAUGUACCAACACUAGUGGGCCAUUUUUGGUAAGCAGAACUGGCGAUGC
rnacentral:rRNA from 1 species